GGCCUUGCCUCUUGGCAAAAAACAUAACGUCAGAAAGGAGCUGGUAGGAACGCCCGUUGUAUGGGCUACCGAACGCCCCGAAUAAGAAAAGCAAAGCA
rnacentral:ncRNA from 1 species